rnacentral:rRNA from 1 species
GAUGAACGCUGGCGGCGUGCCUAAUACAUGCAAGUCGAGCGAACAGAUGAGGAGCUUGCUCCUCUGACGUUAGCGGCGGACGGGUGAGUAACACGUGGAUAACCUACCUAUAAGACUGGGAUAACUUCGGGAAACCGGAGCUAAUACCGGAUAAUAUAUUGAACCGCAUGGUUCAAUAGUGAAAGACGGUUUUGCUGUCACUUAUAGAUGGAUCCGCGCCGCAUUAGCUAGUUGGUAAGGUAACGGCUUACCAAGGCAAUGAUGCGUAGCCGACCUGAGAGGGUGAUCGGCCACACUGGAACUGAGACACGGUCCAGACUCCUACGGGAGGCAGCAGUAGGGAAUCUUCCGCAAUGGGCGAAAGCCUGACGGAGCAACGCCGCGUGAGUGAUGAAGGUCUUCGGAUCGUAAAACUCUGUUAUUAGGGAAGAACAAAUGUGUAAGUAACUAUGCACGUCUUGACGGUACCUAAUCAGAAAGCCACGGCUAACUACGUG